AAUGAGUUCAAAUAAGGGUAAACAACAUUUAAAGGAACACUCCAAAACUACCACAGCGCGUUGCAGUGGUUAUGGUGCCAUGACCCACGCUAUAUUAAAUAAUAAGCACACGUUCUAUACGUGACUGAACCCCAUUAGUCAGGGAGGUAUGGUUUCUAAAUGUUACUGCAGUCUCCAGGUCCGGACUGGGGAUACAAAGCGGCCCUGG